AGAAAGUGAUGAAAGUCUUCCAAGUGACAACAGAAUACUCCGUUGAGGUAGAGUCCUGAGGGUCUUCUCCAUCUUCAUUGGACAACCGC